rnacentral:lncRNA from 1 species
CCUCCCACCAUCCAUGUCUGGGCUGGUUUGCUGAAGUUGCUGAUUGGAUGUCUGUAGUCUACAGAUGGUGGGCACCACCCGAGAAGUCAGGGAGCCUGGGAGGCCUAGGCACACAGGAUGUCAAGAGUAACUGCUAUGAACCUUUCCCCAAAUCUCUGGGGCCUCUCCCUGGGUCAUGCCCUCUGACCCUCUAUCCCCAUAUCUAGAUCUUCAUUAAGAACCUGGUCUGCUUGGGCCCCAGAUCCCACACUUUGCUCAGCAAGCUCGCCUUCUAGGGAGUCAGAGGCUGGGACAGUUACCCCCCUCCUCCCAGGCUCGCCCAAGGCCCAGCAGGAUGUUGUGUUGGUUUCCCGGGCUUUCUCUGUCUCAUAGCCUCUCCCACCCCUCUUAAAAGAAUUUCUGGUCCUAAGAACAUUCGUUAGUAAUUACAAGUCCUGUGUGUACACAUCCUGAGUUUUUAGUAUUUAGUGUAUUUUAAGAAGCGAAAUAAAUAUCUUAUUGAGCACAA